rnacentral:rRNA from 1 species
UACGUAGGGUGCAAGCGUUGUCCGGAAUUAUUGGGCGUAAAGGGCUCGUAGGCGGUCUGUCGCGUCAGGAGUGAAAACUCGGGGCUUAACCCCGAGCCUGCUUCUGAUACGGGCAGACUAGAGGUAUGCAGGGGAGAACGGAAUUCCUGGUGUAGCGGUGAAAUGCGCAGAUAUCAGGAAGAACACCCGUGGCGAAAGCGGCUCUCUGGAACGGUACUGACGCUGAGACGCGAAAGCGUGGGGAGCGAACAGG